UGGCUCAGGAUGAACGCUGGCGGCGUGCCUAACACAUGCAAGUCGAACGGUAACAGGUUCUCACUAUGCUUUUGAAGUUUUCGAAGGUUUAGUGAGAAUGCUGACGAGUGGCGGACGGCUGAGUAACGCGUGGGAACGUGCCCCAAAGUGAGGGAUAAGCACCGGAAACGGUGUCUAAUACCGCAUAUGAUCUUCGGAUUAAAGCAGCAAUGCGCUUUGGGAGCGGCCUGCGUCGGAUUAGGUUGUUGGUGAGGUAAUGGCUCACCAAGCCGACGAUCCGUAGCUGGUCUGAGAGGAUGACCAGCCAGACUGGAACUGAGACACGGUCCAGACUCCUACGGGAGGCAGCAGUGAGGAAUCUUCCACAAUGGGGGCAACCCUGAUGGAGCAACGCCGCGUGCAGGAUGAAGGCCUUCGGGUCGUAAACUGCUUUUAUAAGUGAGGAAUAUGACGGUAACUUAUGAAUAAGGAUCGGCUAACUACGUG
rnacentral:rRNA from 1 species